CGCAGGGAAAGGGGAGAAGAGGGGAAAACCCUUCUUCUCCAAAUCAUCAAGAACCUAACAAUUGGAGGCGUUUAUGGAUGAAAUUCGUAUGCAUGUGAUCGAUUUCUCAAUCAUCUAAGGGUUUCCAACAUGUGGUAUCGCAUGAGCAUGGAAGGCAAAUGGGUCAAGAGGAGGCAAGAAAGCGAAUGCGAAUAGGAACGCUUAAGGUAUGAGAUUGUCAGGUUCAUGAAGGAAUGAAACCGGGUUUGGAUAAAGAGUUUUUAAGAAAGCACUUGGACAAUUCCACGUUUACUUCAUAGAAUGCUUUACGAAUUUCUAUUAUAUAGUUUAAUGUUGUAUGGUGUGUUAAUGGCUAAUGGUUGGGUUGUACGUGGUGUCCACGGGUAUCGCUCGAGUUUUCUCUACCACUAGCAAAGUGAAGCACACAUAGAUCGAGUUGAGAGCAAGGAUUGUACGGGAAAGAAAGGUCACAUAGUUUGUUUUAAAUAGGUCAUGAAACCUUGAUAUAAUGUAACAUUGUGAAUCCUUUCUAAUGAAUGUAUUACAGUUUGUAA